AGCGAACGCUGGCGGCAGGCCUAACACAUGCAAGUCGAACGGCAGCAUAGGAGCUUGCUCCUGAUGGCGAGUGGCGAACGGGUGAGUAAUAUAUCGGAACGCGCCCUAGAGUGGGGGAUAACUAGUCGAAAGACUAGCUAAUACCGCAUACGAUCUACGGAUGAAAGCGGGGGAUCGCAAGACCUCAUGCUCCUGGAGCGGCCGAUAUCUGAUUAGCUAGUUGGUGGGGUAAAAGCCUACCAAGGCGACGAGCAGUAGCUGGUCUGAGAGGACGACCAGCCACACUGGGACUGAGACACGGCCCAGACUCCUACGGGAGGCAGCAGUGGGGAAUUUUGGACAAUGGGGGCAACCCUGAUCCAGCAAUGCCGCGUGAGUGAAGAAGGCCUUCGGGUUGUAAAGCUCUUUUGUCAGGGAAGAAACGGUAGUAGCGAAUAACUAUUACUAAUGACGGUACCUGAAGAAUAAGCACCGGCUAACUACGUGCCAGCCGCCGCCGUAAAAC
rnacentral:rRNA from 1 species